GGCGUCCCAUAAUAUCAGUGCAGUGUUUUCCCUUGCAAGAUUCCAAGAAACAUCAGACAUAACCUUCAUGUUCAUCUAGUUUGUGAUGUGACUGCAACGGGACUACCCCCAGAAAGUUGUGACCUAGUUAUGCUAGUGUAUCCUGCAAAGUUAUCCCAGAUUCAUCAGCAUUAAUUGGAAAAUGUUGCAUAUAGUUACGGCUAUACAUAAUAUAGUGUACAAGUAAUGACAAAGUAUAACUCAUAGAGUGAAUGCUUGAUGAUACAAUAAACGUAAUAAGCCACUUCAGAGAUACAAAUUAAUGUCCCCCAAAUAUCCACAGAUCUUUUACACAUGGAAACGUCCCACCUUGUGCAUUUUAGAAAAUCAAUGCCAAAGUGUGGACGUGCUUCAUGAUAUCUUUUGUUUGCCGUCUUGAAAAGAAUACUUCCACCUGUGCAGCAUAGAGUGUUUCACCGAUGCAUAAGUAAAUAUCUUUUUGAACGUGUAUCCAGCAAUCUCCUCCAUGGGUUUUACAGUUUUUUUUUGCAAACGGCCCAUAUCUACCCAUGCACAGAUAGUAUCUCUGAUGUGGCUUAUUGUUGUACAUUUCAACACCACAUUAUGAGGAAAACCUACAUGUACAUAAGGACCUACUGGUGUUUUUAACUUGUAGGUUGUAGACAAUACUACAAGAGCUGUUAUCCUUGAAAUCAGCUGUAGAAAAAAAAAUGCUUACUGUAUAUUUUAUAUACAUGUACUGGUAUUAUAACAUACAGCGUGUCUGUUAUAAAGUGCUUUCAUCUAUAAUACUAAAAAAAAUCACCCAAAACACAAAGUCUGUGAACACUGGGAUGUUUCAGAUUAUAAGUAAUGAUGAUGUAACUUUCUAAGUACAAUUUGUUCGAAUAAUCCGAAUGUGCAAUACAAUGUAAUAGUGUUCAAUGCAUUUACAACUCUCUACUGAGGUAUCCUGUUAUGAACUACUUUAAAAUCUUCAUAUUGGCAUCCAUUAAAUUAGAAUUGUCAGUUUGAAUACUCA